AGAGUUCGAUCCUGGCUCAGGAUAAACGCUGGCGGCGUGCCUAAUACAUGCAAGUCGAGCGAGGUAUUCAGCAAUGGAUACCGAGCGGCGAACGGGUGAGUAACACGUUGGGAACCUACCCCCCUGAUCGGAAUACCCAAGGGAAACUUUGGUUAAUGCCGAAUACGUGGUUCUGGGAUAACCUGGAGUCAUAAAAGGCGGCCUUAAAGCCGCGCAGAGGGAUGGACCUGCGGCGCAUUAGCUAGUAGGUGAGAUAAUAGCCCACCUAGGCGAGGAUGCGUAGCCGACCUGAGAGGGUGAACGGCCACACUGGAACUGAGACACGGUCCAGACUCCUACGGGAGGCAGCAGUAGGGAGUAUUCGGCAAUGGGGGAAACCCUGACCGAGCAACGCCGCGUGAAUGAUGACGGCCUUCGGGUUGUAAAAUUCUGUGGCGAGGAACGAAUGGCAAGGAGAGGAAAUGCUCUUUGUUUGACGGUACCUCGCUAGAAAGCCACGGCUAACUACGUGCCAGCAGCCGCGGUAAUACGUAGGUGGCAAGCGUUAUCCGGAAUUACUGGGUGUAAAGGGAGCGCAGGCGGGAUAGCAAGUCAGCUGUGAAAACUAUGGGCUCAACCCAUAAACUGCAGUUGAAACUGUUAUUCUUGAGUGGAGUAGAGGCAAGCGGAAUUCCGAGUGUAGCGGUGAAAUGCGUAGAUAUUCGGAGGAACACCAGUGGCGAAGGCGGCUUGCUGGGCUCUAACUGACGCUGAGGCUCGAAAGUGUGGGGAGCAAACAGGAUUAGAUACCCUGGUAGUCCACACCGUAAACGAUGGAUACUAGGUGUAGGAGGUAUCGACCCCUUCUGUGCCGCAGUUAACACAAUAAGUAUCCCACCUGGGGAGUACGACCGCAAGGUUGAAACUCAAAGGAAUUGACGGGGGCCCGCACAAGCAGUGGAGUAUGUGGUUUAAUUCGACGCAACGCGAAGAACCUUACCAAGUCUUGACAUCCCUUGACGAACAUAGAAAUAUGUUUUCUCUUCGGAGCAAGGAGACAGGUGGUGCAUGGUUGUCGUCAGCUCGUGUCGUGAGAUGUUGGGUUAAGUCCCGCAACGAGCGCAACCCUUAUCAUUAGUUGCUACGCAAGAGCACUCUAAUGAGACUGCCGUUGACAAAACGGAGGAAGGUGGGGAUGACGUCAAAUCAUCAUGCCCUUUAUGACCUGGGCUACACACGUACUACAAUGGCGUUAAACAAAGAGAAGCAAGACCGCGAGGUGGAGCAAAACUCAGAAACAACGUCCCAGUUCGGACUGCAGGCUGCAACUCGCCUGCACGAAGUCGGAAUUGCUAGUAAUCGUGGAUCAGCAUGCCACGGUGAAUACGUUCCCGGGCCUUGUACACACCGCCCGUCACACCAUGAGAGUCG
rnacentral:rRNA from 1 species